rnacentral:sRNA from 1 species
ACACUAUGUUGACAGCUUCAGCUGCUUUUGGCCUGUUGUAACUGAUGUGGGAUACUUGUCAUGAUUUAUCAUCCUGAUCUAUCGAAACAAAGGUGCAGUUCGCAGUUCAAUGUUCUACAAUUGGAUUGUCAAGAUUUACGACAUGAGCCAGAGGUUGUUAAUACAAUGGAAAGAAAAAGUAAUAUUAACAUGAAGCAAGUCUACAUUUUGGCGAGUUGUGCAGAUGGAUAGUAACUUGCCCGGGCAGACACAUCUUGUGUCCAUCAGACAGGAAUUAAUCAAUAUAUACAAGCGUAGAGAAUCUCUGGAAAGGACAUGAUGAUUUCUGAAUCAGUGCUGCAGCAAAGAAACAAAUUAUGGGGUUAUAGACACACAUUAAAAUUUAAUGAUCACCACUGACAUGAUAUUUCAUCCUAGUUGAUUUUGUACGAUUUAUGUGUACACAUUCACAGCAUACCACACUGGUUGUUUAUAUCUGCUGUCAAGAUCAUAUAUUUAAUGUUCCUGCUCUGUUGUCAAUUCUGUUAUAACACAUUUUUCAAAUGAUAUGAUUUAUUAAUAGUGUGCUGAUCGCUGUGGUGAUAAGUUGCAUUUAAAUAUGCAUAAAACUCCACAGUUUGUUAUGUUUAGUUAGUAUCUGAUGUAUUAUUCAUCACCAUGAAAACAUAUUAUUUAAAGUAAGGAAAGGGGGGGGGGGGGUAUAUACAUACAUAUCCAUUUCCUUACAGUUAUUUCAAGUUAUUUUAAGUUAACCUCAGUUAUUUUAUGUUAUGUGAUCGUAUGAGCUGUUGGACAUUAAACAAAUGUAACAGAU